ensembl:misc_RNA Metazoa_SRP Metazoan signal recognition particle RNA
GCCGGGCGUGGUGGCGCACGCCUGUAGCCCCAGCUACUCGGGAGGCUGAGGCAGGAGAAUCAUUUGAACCCGGGAGGCAGAGGGUGCAGUCAGCCAAGAUCGUACUACUGCACUCCAGCCUGGGUGACAGAGUGAGACUCUGUCUCAA